UGGCCCCGUAGCUCAGCUGGAUAGAGCACUCGCCUUCUAAGCGAAUGGUCGCAGGUUCGAAUCCUGCCGGGGUCGCCAU
rnacentral:tRNA from 1 species